GGGAGGAGAUGAAACAACGCUCAAACAAUGCUAUUUGGUUCUCAAAAAUCUGUCCCAAACUCAAUACAAAACAUUAAGGGUUGCUGAUGGAGGGCCAUGGAGGAGGUUAUGUGCAUUGCCUACUAUUUGGCGCCUCAAAGACAAUGGUAGAAAAGAGGGGAGCCUUCAAUUGAAGGUUUGUUUAGGCUGAAUACGGGUUGUCGACAGGAAAGCCAAGUGAUCAUAACACGUAUGCAGCUAUUGAGGCUACAUACAAGUAUUUGAGGAGACUUACAACACAAAGUAAGAGGAUAACAU